UACGUAGGGGGCAAGCGUUGUCCGGAAUCAUUGGGCGUAAAGAGCGUGUAGGCGGCCACGCAGGUCCGUUGUGAAAACUGGAGGCUCAACUUCCAGCCGUCGACGGAAACCGUGUGGCUAGAGUCCGGAAGAGGAGAGUGGAAUUCCUGGUGUAGCGGUGAAAUGCGCAGAUAUCAGGAAGAACACCAAUGGCGAAGGCAGCUCUCUGGGACGGUACUGACGCUGAGACGCGAAAGCGUGGGGAGCGAACAGG
rnacentral:rRNA from 1 species